rnacentral:rRNA from 1 species
AGUGAACGCUGGCGGUAGGCCUAACACAUGCAAGUCGAACGGCAGCACAGUAAGAGCUUGCUCUUACGGGUGGCGAGUGGCGGACGGGUGAGGAAUACAUCGGAAUCUACUUUUUCGGGGGGGAUAACGUAGGGAAACUUACGCUAAUACCGCAUACGACCUACGGGUGAAAGCAGGGGAUCUUCGGACCUUGCGCGAUUGAAUGAGCCGAUGUCGGAUUAGCUAGUUGGCGGGGUAAAGGCCCACCAAGGCGACGAUCCGUAGCUGGUCUGAGAGGAUGAUCAGCCACACUGGAACUGAGACACGGUCCAGACUCCUACGGGAGGCAGCAGUGGGGAAUAUUGGACAAUGGGCGCAAGCCUGAUCCAGCCAUACCGCAUGGGUGAAGAAGGCCUUCGGGUUGUAAAGCCCUUUUGUUGGGAAAGAAAAGCAGCAGGUUAAUACCCCGCUGUUCUGACGGUACCCAAAGAAUAAGCACCGGCUAACUUCGUG